CGUGGCGGCCCAGGCCCACGCCAAGAUUUGUGCCAGGCCCAGCCAGCGUGAAGUUUGAAACGGAGACCUCUGUCGAAGGAGCGGGCCAUGGCGGGACAGCGGUUUGGCCUCCUUCCCCUCCGCCCUUGCACAGCCUGGCGAGGUGAGGAGUGAGAACAUGCAGAAGAGAAAGCGAGUCGGUGGAUGUGGGUGAGAAGAAACCUGACAACUCCCUGUUUCCAGAAGAGACGGUCGAGCCAAGACGGAAGUGAGGGGCUUCUCAGGCCCCAAGCCUAGGGAAUGUCCCUGCCCAUAGCUACAGUGUCUCUUCUCGUCUCAGUGAACUAAUCGAGAUAGCGUCUCAUAGGCUCAGCUAGAGACUCAUCUCACUGAGACGGCCCUCAUAGAUGCUCUCUGACCAAGUCAUUCUAGACGCCAUCCUCUUGACCAUUGAUCCUGACGAUCACACCGAUCAGCAGGAGGGUAAAGAUCUAAGCCCAGUUUCUGAGACACCAGAAGGGUGGGGGAGACAGAGUCCACACUACUCUGGCUGACAAGCAGCCUCGGGGAAAAGAGUUCAGUCUGUUCAUCUGAGUGAAGACUACAGGGAUGGUAUUGCUACCGACGGAGCUAAAGGAAAACCUGAUGCAGUAUCAAAGGAGAUGUC
ensembl:processed_transcript